UAUACGACUCUCGGCAACGGAUAUCUCGGCUCUCGCAUCGAUGAAGAACGUAGCGAAAUGCGAUACUUGGUGUGAAUUGCAGAAUCCCGUGAACCAUCGAGUCUUUGAACGCAAGUUGCGCCCGAGGCCUUUUGGUUGAGGGCACGCCUGCCUGGGCGUCACGCC
rnacentral:rRNA from 1 species